CAAGUACCCGUGAGGGAAAGUUGAAAAGAACUUUGAAGAGAGAGUUCAAUAGUACGUGAAACCGUUUAGAGGUAAACGGAUGGGACCGCAAGGCUCCCCGGCGGAAUUCAACCUUCCGAUAGGCGGUCGGCUGCGCGUGACGAUCCUCAGGGACGGACGYGUGGUCGGGUCGUCGUCGGUGGGCGCACUUUCCACGGGACGCUCGCCAGGACCGGUUCGUGUGGUGGCCGGAAGCCGCUGGGGGCAAGGUAGCCGUCUUCUUCGGGAGACGGUGCUUAGGCCCUCGCGGUGGGCUGCACCCACUUACCGAGGAACACCCGCCGUGGUACGGGCCCCCCGCCCUCUCGGCCGAGACGACUUGCGUGGACUGUUCGCAGUGCUCGCAGACGGCCGGCCGUGCAGAGGAGGGGACCUCCCGUGCUGACACCCAGGGUCUCUGGCUAAUCGGUCGGCACCCCAUCCGACCCGUCUUGAAACACGGACCAAGGAGUCUAACAUGUGCGCGAGUCGUCGGGUGGCAAACCCUCGGGCGCAAUGAAAGUGAAGUUCGGCCUCGCGGUCGGAUCGGGUAGGAUCUCGGCGCGUCUCGAUGCGCCGGGCGCACUACCGGCCCGUCUCGGUCUCUCGUAGACGAGGCGGAGCAAGAGCGUACACGUUGGGACCCGAAAGA
rnacentral:rRNA from 1 species